rnacentral:lncRNA from 1 species
GUAAUUAAUAAGCAUAGUUAUUUAUCCAAAAAUACAUUUCUAUCUGCCAUGGCAGUCUACAAGAGCCCCUCGUCUUUUCCCAGCCGUUGUUCUAAUAUUUGUACAAAAAAUUGCAGAUAAUGGAGUUAUUAGUCCAUCUCUUGUUGCAUGUAGAGCUACUCCUCAGAAGUGGACCAUUCUAGAAGCAACUUAUGAACUCUCUAAACACCACCAAAUUAUUCUGAAUGAAAGAAGUUUUAAGGUUAUUUAUGUUCUAUACUAUAUAUUUAUAUAUAUAUUUUUUAUAUUAUGUGCCGGUGUAUAUUUUUACACUUUUAUAUUAUGUGUCGAUUUAUAUUUUUACACUUUUCCAUAUUCUUAAAAUCUUGUAAAAGCCAAACAAAGAGGGGGAAAAAGCUCAACCUGCGGGAAUGUAAAAACCAUGUUCUCUCAAGAGUCUGAAGAAAAGUGAAAGAUCAUGAAGAGAGUAUCCAUCAAAAGAAGUGGCUUCCAUAUAAUGUCGCCAGAGAACUGAUUCAAUCUCUUCCUGAAAAUGGUAGUCAACACCUAGUCGCUGGAUAGCAUCCACCAACAUUGAGCUUUCUAUUUGAUUUUCUAAUUCCUCUGAUUUCAAUAAUUCCCUGACAUCCUUCAGUUUUUGUUCAUAUUCCGUGGAAAAUUCAUCCUGCAAGUAAGACUGGUUUUUGCUUUACACUUUUUCAUAACUAUUUUUAUGCGGAAAUUUCCAUAACUAUAUAUUUAUAUACUUUUUUAUAUUUUUUAUACUUGAUGAUAGUGACUUGUCGGCGGGACUAUUUCUCCCGGAAAUUGUUGAUGAGAAGAUGAGACCAACUUGUGAAUACCGUAGGGUUAUACAUUAAACUAAAAAUUACUUCCUAAUAGUCACUCCAGAUGAAGUGAAGAAAUUCUUCCAAUAUGAUCCAUACACAGAAGAUGAUAAUGACAUACUUGUGGGAGAUUUCUUUACUGUACAAAAUUAUAAAAGGAUUGAAACCCAAAUAAUUUCAAAUGAGACAAAUAACUUGUUCUCAGGAAAUUAUUCGUCAUUCAACCUGAAGAACUAACAAAUGAAGACGAAAACCAUAUAGAAAUCAAGGAAUAAAUUAUAAGGGGGUAAAUUCAAAGAAGACGAAAUUAACAUGCAAGUCGAUAAGCAGAUCGAAGUCUAGUUAAGUUUGAAUUGAGUGAUUUAGGCUAUUCAUAUCAUAUUCAAAAGGACAAAGUAAGGUUUUGGAAUAUAUACCAAUUAUGGUGUUAAGAUAUUAUUUUUAUUGUAUCUUUUCAGGUAUGAUGAAAAUAUCGUACAAGAAUACGAAAAGAAAGGAGAGUAAAAGUCAAGGGCUAAAGGAGAGACCUUAUAAACACGGUGAGUAUUGCAGCCCUUUCUUUAAACCUAUUUUGUGCACACAUUAAGUACAAAGUGUAUAAAAAUAUUGCCUUAUUUUAUUUUGAUAAUCUGAGUUGGUUAGGCUUGCUGGCCUAACGAUUAUGGUUAUUUGAAAUUUCUUAUGAAGCAUAAAUUGAGACUAGGUAAUGUAUUUAUUUAUUUUGCUAAUUUGAUACUUAUACAUUUUUUAUCGUAUUCAAUAGAGUAUAUAAUCAUGAUAAUGAAUAUGAAUUUUUGGAUUGUUUACGGUAAUACAAUAUGUUGAAUGAACUUUACGUCUGUUUCAAUCCUACCUACUACUGGAAUAUAAAUAUAAAAAAACAACCACUUGACCAACUGGAAUGACUAGUUUGGGGAUGGUUGAUCUGUAUUGAAAAUCCUACCUACUACAAAAGAGAGGAUGGAGUUUUACUGUUCAUUUUUGGGCCAUUUUCACACUAGGAUUGGUUUCAAACUGGUUCAUUCUGUUGUUUUAAUAACGCAUGGGUCGACUUUGACCAAUAAAUAAUGAAAUUGAGAAAACGCAGCUAAAAAUGGACAUAAGUAUUUACGUGAUUCACCCAAAUUUUGGCUACGUUCACGGGCAAGUAUAGGAGGAUUUUACUAUAGUAGGAGAAUUACAACAACUCUCUAAAUACAAGGGGAUACCAACAAUUAAUAUCUCUUUUAAUAGAAAAAACAAGUAGGAAAUACUAUAGGAAGAAACAAUAAUUUUUCUCUCUAUUUUUAUCUCUCUACUCACAAUUUUCUCUCCACUCAAUAUUUUCUUUUCUCUCAAUUUUUUUCUCUCCAACACGGCUUAUUUCACUUGGCGUGUUAAUUCUCUAUUUAUAGAGAAAUUUGGCUUCAAACCGUCUCACUUUGUUUGGCUCAAAACUUGCCAUCAAGGUGCAUAUGAAAGAGGAGAGUAGGAUGCAUGUGAGAGCCUGGUUGGAGAAUUAAUAGCCUUGCAUGUGGGAGACUUGUUCAUAAAGAAAGUGGCUGGACCAAAGCUCAAAAAUUCCACUGCCUAUGUAUUAAAUGCUUGCAUGAAUUUUGUCAUUUUGUAGUUAAAAUUUGUGGCUUUAAUUUUCAACAUUUCUCCCACUUAAAGUCACUUUUGUUGACCACUUCAAUCCUACCCAUACUUGCCAUUUCCAUGCCACUUACGUUUCUGCCAAGCCGAUAGAGGAUCGACACCAAAUGAACUUGUCAGUACCGAUUGGCUUUGUCAACAUAUCUGCUAGGUUGUCCAUUGUAUGGAUUUUCUAUAUAUCCACACUUCCUUUUUCUACCUUCUCUCGAACAAAGUGAUACUAGACUCGAAUAUGCUUUGUCCUCUGAUGAAAUACUGGAUUCUUUACCAAAUGCAAAGCACUCUGACUAUCACAAAAUAGAGUAAUCUUCUCUUGUUUGUGUCCGAGCUCCUCCAUUAACAUUUGUAACAAGAUUGUCUCUUUCCUGGCUUGUGUAGCUGCCACGUAUUCUGCUCCGUCGUAGAAGUAGCCACGAUAGGCUGUAGUUUCGAAACCCAGCCUACAGCUCCUCCAGCAAGAGUAAACACAUAUCCAGUGGUGGACUUACUUUUGUCAAGAUCACCUGCAUAAUCUGAAUCAACAUAGCCUCUGACAAUAAAAUCUGAUCCGCCAUAACAUAAUGUAACAUUUGAGGUACCCUUGACAUAUCUCAGGAUCCUCUUUACAGUACUCCAAUGCUCUUUAUCAAGAUUUGCCAUGUAUCGACUAACCACUCCUACUGCUUGUGCAAUGUCUGGUCUUGUACAGAUCAUAACAAACAUCAGGCUACCCACUACUGAUGCAUACGGUACUCGAGACAUCUCCACUUUCUCUGCUUCUUUGCUAGGACUCAUACUUGAGGAUAACUUAAAAUUAAUAGGAAGAGGGGUAGAAAUUGGCUUACAAUCUUUCAUAUUGAAGCGAUGCAAGAUUUUCUUCAAGUAGUUCUUCUAAUUAAGCCAAAUCUUUCUAUUAUUUCUGUCUCGAUAAAUUUGCAUCCCUAGAAUCUUGUUUGUUGGUCCCAAGUCCUUCAUUUCAAACUCCCUAGCUAACUGUGCCAUCAAAUUAUCAAUACGAUCUUUGUUCGAGCCUAUUACCAACAUGUCAUCAACAUACAACAGCAGAAUAAUGAAAUCAUUAUCACCAAAUCUCAUCUAGUAUGCACAUGGAUCUUAACUAAGUUUGUUGUAUCCAAGGCUCAUGAUGAAGGAAUCAAAUCUCUUAUACCAACAUCUCGGCACCUGUUUGAGACCGUAUAGAGAUUUGUUCAACCUGCAAACCAAGUUCUCUUUUCCUUUUUCUUCAAAACCUUCUGGUUGGAGCAUAUAAAUCUCUUCUUCAAGUUCUCCAUGAAGAAAUGCAAUUUUUACAUCUAAUUGCUCGAAGUGUAAGUCAAAUGUAGUACACAUUCCCAAGACUACUCGAAUUGUUGUGGUCGAACCACAGGAAAAAAUAUUUCGUUGAAGUCUAUGCCUUCUUUCUGAGCAUACCCUUUCACCACCAGUCUCGCACGAUACCGCUCCACUUGGUCAUUGCUAUCUCGUUUUAUCUUAUAGACCCAUUUAUUCCCAAUGGCCUUCCUUCCAUGUGGUAGUGGAACAAGAUUCCAUGUCUUGUUCUUAUGAAGAGUUUCAAUUUCUUCUUGCAUUACAGCCAUCCACUGAGAAACUUCUUGGCUAUUUAUAGCCUCAUGAAAAGUUGAUGGCUCUCCAUCUUCUGUCAAUAAGUAGUAUGCAACAUUACCCUCCAUAAUGUAAUAUGAGUGCCAAGCCAGUUCUCUUCUCUUCCGUGUUGAUCGUUGAACAUUUGGAGCACCAGAUUCAGCUUGUUCUUCAUGUUCUAGUGUUGCUUCAGAAGAAUCUAUAUCUACUCGUUCGUCUCCAACUUCGACUGUAGUAGUCUCUGGUUUUUCUUUUGAAGUGCUAUCAUUUCCUUUUUCCUGUGUUUUGGCUUCUGCAAAUAUGACAUCUCUACUGAUUAUCACCUUAUGGGUAGUGGGAUCCCCCAGGCGGUACCCCUUAACUCCAUUAGGAUACCCUAAGAAAAUACAUUUUCUAGAUUUUGGAUCCAGCUUUGAUGUUUCUUGGGUGUUUUACAUAACGUACACAGGACUUCCAAAUAUACGUAAGUGAGAAUAAUUAGCCGGUUUAUUAGUCCACAUUUCCAUCGGUGUCUUCAAGUCAAUUGCGGUUGAUGGCGACUGAUUGAUCACAUAACAGGUAGUUUUGACUGCUUCUGCCCAGAAUGACUUGGCUAACUUUGAAGUUCUCAACAUUGCUCUUGUUCUUUCUAACAAUGUUCUGUUCAUCCGCUCUGCCACUCCAUUUCGCUGUAGAGUGUAUGCCACUAUGAACUGUCUCUUGAUACCUUCUUGUUGACAGAAGUUAUCAAAUUAAUCACCAGUAUAUUCUUUUCCAUUGUCAGUCCUCAGACACUUGAUCUUCUUUUCAAAUUCAAGCUCCACAUGUGCUUUGAAUACUUUGAAGACUACAAACACGUCUGCCUUUCUCUUAAUUGGAUACACCCAACGUCUCCUGGAGUAAUCAUCAAUAAAAGAUACAAAGUAUCUUGCACCUCCUAGGGACAUAACCGGUGCUUGCCAAACUCGAAAUGGACCAGUUCCAAGAUAGCUUUACUUCUAGGAGUAGAACCAUUGAACUUCAAUCUGUGCUAUUUACUAGUAAUACAAUGCUCACAAAAGGGUAAUGAAACCUUUUUGAGACCUGGAAGAAGCUUUUGUUCUGAGAGAAUUUUCAAACCACGUUCCGACAUGUGACCAAGCUUGCGAUGCCACAUCAUCGUUAAUUCUUCUGCUGAACCUGUCGAUGCGACAGAUGCUUCUCCUUCUUAUAGUGUUUUCCUUUAAGCAUGUACAAAUUUGCAGCUAUCUUUUCUGCUUUUAUCACCACAAGCGCGCCUCUAAUUAUUUUCAUAAUCCCAUCUUGUAUAUGGGUUUUGCAACCAAUGCUAUCUAAUUGUCCUAAAGACAAUAGAUUUUUCUUCAAGCCUUUUACGCGCCGUACCUCCUGAAUAGUGCAAAUUGUAUCAUCAUACAUUUUCAAUUUGAUGGUACCAAUACCAGCGAUCUCCAAGGCACAAUCAUUUUCCAUAAACACAGAUCCUCCUGGAAUAAUCUCAUAUUGAUGGAACCAUUCCCUCAUUGGUGUCAUGUGCCAUGUAGCUCCUGAAUACAUAAGCCAGACAUUAGAAAAUUUAUUUCUGCCUUCAACAAUUGUUGUUGCCUCGCUGUACAAAAUUUCACCAUCAUCUGAGGUGCUUGCUACACAACCCUGAGCUUUUGACAUCUCAGGACCUUUUUCUUUGGCUUCUUCAUUCUUCUUAAAGCUCCAACAAUCCCUUUUUAAAUGCCCUUUCUUGCCACAGUAAUGACACUUGACAUUUUUAUUACUCUUGAAUUUUGAUCUACUCUGAUUAUGACUCCCACUGGAGCCACGUUCCGUUGAUCUCUCUCUCAUCAUCAUUAAAGCUUCCACCUGAUGCAAACUUGUCGAUCUAUCCUCCUCAUUUUUUUUGCCGACUUUCUUCUUCAAGAACAGCAGCUACAAUAAGACUAGAGUUUCAAGGUUGUUGGUUAAGUUGAUGAUGAGUAGAUCAUACGAAUCUGGCAGACUUUGAAGUAAGAUUUCAGCACGUUCACCCGCCUCUAUAUUAUACUCCAUUGAUGUGAGCUGUGAAAAUAAAGUGUUGAGGGUGUUGAUGUGGUCGGUCACCGUAGUUGACUCCAUCAUCCGAAGGGUGUAAAGCUUCCUCUUCAAGAAGAUUUUGUUGUGUAACGAUUUGGCCUCGUACUGUUUUGUCAGCAUAUCCCAUAUAUUCUUUCGCCGUCUUUUUCUCUACCAUACUUGACAAUACUCCAUCGGCUAGUGCAAGGUGCAGAUUAGCAACUGCAUUGCUAUCCAUCUCGUUCCACUUAGUAUCAUCAAUGAUCUUCACAGGCCUUUGUCCAAUUGCCGCCAAGCAGUUAUCUUUCCGCAAAACUGCUUUUAUUCUCAUUUUCCAUAAUGAGAAAUUAUUCCCAUUGAACUUUUCAAUCUCAUACUUUGUCGCCAUUUUGUUCACCAAUAAUAUAACUAAACAACGACCCUACACAGAACCUUGCUCUGAUACCACUGUUGUUUUAAUAACGCGUGGGUCGACUUUGACUAACAAAUAAUGAAAUUGAGAAAACGCGGCUAAAAAUGGAUACAAGUAUUUACGUGAUUCACCCAAAUUUUGGCUACGUCCACAGGCAAAUAUAUGAGGAUUUUACUAUAGUAGGAGAAUUAUAAAAACUCUCUAAAUACAAGGAGAUACCAACAAUUAAUCUCUCUUGUAAUAGAAAAAACAAGUAGGAAAUACUAUAGGAAGAAACAAUAAUUUUUCUCUCUAUUUUUAUCUCUCUACUCACAAUUUUCACUCUACUCAAUCUUUUCUUUUCUCUCAAUUUUUUUCUCUCCAACACGGCUUAUUUCACUUGGCAUGUUAGUUCUCUAUUCAUAGAGAAAUUUGGCUUCAAACNGUAGAAGUAGCCACGAUAGACUGUAGUUUCGAAACCCAGCUUACAGCUCCUCCAGCAAGAGUAAACACAUAUCCAGUGAUGGACUUACUUUUGUCAAGAUCACCUGCAUAAUCUGAAUCAACAUAGCCUCUGACAAUAAAAUCUGAUCCGCCAUAACAUAAUGUAACAUUUGAGGUACCCUUGACAUAUCUCAGGAUCCUCUUUACAGUACUCCAAUGCUCUUUAUCAAGAUUUGCCAUGUAUCGACUAACCACUCCUACUGCUUGUACAAUGUCUGGUCUUGUACAGAUCAUAACAAACAUCAGGCUACCCACUACUGAUGCAUACGGUACUCUAGACAUCUCCACUUUCUCUGCUUCUUUGCUAGGACUCAUACUUGAGGAUAACUUAAAAUUAAUAGGAAGAGGGGUAGAAAUUGGCUUACAAUCUUUCAUAUUGAAGCGAUGCAAGAUUUUCUUCAAGUAGUUCUUCUAAUUAAGCCAAAUCUUUCUAUUAUUUCUGUCUCGAUAAAUUUGCAUCCAUAGAAUCUUGUUUGUUGGUCCCAAGUCCUUCAUUUCAAACUCCCUAGCUAACUGUGCCAUCAAAUUAUCAAUACGAUCUUUGUUCGAGCCUAUUACCAACAUGUCAUCAACAUACAACAGCAGAAUAAUGAAAUCAUUAUCACCAAAUCUCAUCUAGUAUGCACAUGGAUCUUAACUAAGUUUGUUGUAUCCAAGGCUCAUGAUGAAGGAAUCAAAUCUCUUAUACCAACAUCUCGGCACCUGUUUAAGACCGUAUAGAGAUUUGUUCAACCUGCAAACCAAGUUCUCUUUUCCUUUUUCUUCAAAACCUUCUGGUUGGAGCAUAUAAAUCUCUUCUUCAAGUUCUCCAUGAAGAAAUGCAAUUUUUACAUCUAAUAGCUCGAAGUGUAAGUCAAAUGUAGUACACAUUCCCAAGACUACUCGAAUUGUUGUGGUCGAACCACAGGAAAAAAUAUUUCGUUGAAGUCUAUGCCUUCUUUCUGAGCAUACCCUUUCACCACCAGUCUCGCACGAUACCGCUCCACUUGGUCAUUGCUAUCUCGUUUUAUCUUAUAGACCCAUUUAUUCCCAAUGGCCUUCCUUCCAUGUGGUAGUGGAACAAGAUUCCAUGUCUUGUUCUUAUGAAGAGUUUCAAUUUCUUCUUGCAUUACAGCCAUCCACUGAGAAACUUCUUGGCUAUUUAUAGCCUCAUGAAAAGUUGAUGGCUCUCCAUCUUCUGUCAAUAAGUAGUAUGCAACAUUACCCUCCAUAAUGUAAUAUGAGUGCCAAGCCAGUUCUCUUCUCUUCCGUGUUGAUCGUUGAACAUUUGGAGCACCAGAUUCAGCUUGUUCUUCAUGUUCUAGUGUUGCUUCAGAAGAAUCUAUAUCUACUCGUUCGUCUCCAACUUCGACUGUAGUAGUCUCUGGUUUUUCUUUUGAAGUGCUAUCAUUUCCUUUUUCCUGUGUUUUGGCUUCUGCAAAUAUGACAUCUCUACUGAUUAUCACCUUAUGGGUAGUGGGAUCCCCCAGGCGGUACCCCUUAACUCCAUUAGGAUACCCUAAGAAAAUACAUUUUCUAGAUUUUGGAUCCAGCUUUGAUGUUUCUUGGGUGUUUUACAUAACGUACACAGGACUUCCAAAUAUAUGUAAGUGAGAAUAAUUAGCCGGUUUAUUAGUCCACAUUUCCAUCGGUGUCUUCAAGUCAAUUGCGGUUGAUGGCGACUGAUUGAUCACAUAACAGGUGGUUUUGACUGCUUCUGCCCAGAAUGACUUGGCUAACUUUGAAGUUCUCAACAUUGCUCUUGUUCUUUCUAACAAUGUUCUGUUCAUCCGCUCUGCCACUCCAUUUCGCUGUAGAGUGUAUGCCACUAUGAACUGUCUCUUGAUACCUUCUUGUUGACAGAAGUUAUCAAAUUAAUCACCAGUAUAUUCUUUUCCAUUGUCAGUCCUCAGACACUUGAUCUUCUUUUCAAAUUCAAGCUCCACAUGUGCUUUGAAUACUUUGAAGACUACAAACACGUCUGCCUUUCUCUUAAUUGGAUACACCCAACGUCUCCUGGAGUAAUCAUCAAUAAAAGAUACAAAGUAUCUUGCACCUCCUAGGGACAUAACCGGUGCUUGCCAAACUCGAAAUGGACCAGUUCCAAGAUAGCUUUACUUCUAGGAGUAGAACCAUUGAACUUCAAUCUGUGCUAUUUACUAGUAAUACAAUGCUCACAAAAGGGUAAUGAAACCUUUUUGAGACCUGGAAGAAGCUUUUGUUCUGAGAGAAUUUUCAAACCACGUUCCGACAUGUGACCAAGCUUGCGAUGCCACAUCAUCGUUAAUUCUUCUGCUGAACCUGUCGAUGCGACAUAUGCUUCUCCUUCUUAUAGUGUUUCUCCUUUAAGCAUGUACAAAUUUGCAGCUAUCUUUUUUGCUUUUAUCACCACAAGCGCGCCUCUGAUUAUUUUCAUAAUCCCAUCUUGUAUAUGGGUUUUGCAACCAAUGCUAUCUAAUUGUCCUAAAGACAAUAGAUUUUUCUUCAAGCCUUUUACGUGCCGUACCUCCUGAAUAGUGCAAAUUGUAUCAUCAUACAUUUUCAAUUUGAUGGUACCAAUACCAGCGAUCUCCAAGGCACAAUCAUUUUCCAUAAACACAGAUCCUCCUGGAAUAAUCUCAUAUUGAUGGAACCAUUCCCUCAUUGGUGUCAUGUGCCAUGUAGCUCCUGAAUCCAUAAGCCAGACAUUAGAAAAUUUAUUUCUGCCUUCAACAAUUGUUGUUGCCUCGCUGUACAAAAUUUCACCAUCAUCUGAGGUGCUUGCUACACAACCCUGAGCUUUUGACAUCUCAGGACCUUUUUCUUUGGCUUCUUCAUUCUUCUUAAAGCUCCAACAAUCCCUUUUUAAAUGCCCUUUCUUGCCACAGUAAUGACACUUGACAUUUUUAUUACUCUUGAAUUUUGAUCUACUCUGAUUAUGACUCCCACUGGAGCCACGUUCCGUUGAUCUCCCUCUCAUCAUCAUUAAAGCUUCCACCUGAUGCAAACUUGUCGAUCUAUCCUCCUCAUUUUUUUUGCCGACUUUCUUCUUCAAGAACAGCAGCUACAAUAAGACUAGAGUUUCAAGGUUGUUGGUUAAGUUGAUGAUGAGUAGAUCAUACGAAUCUGGCAGACUUUGAAGUAAGAUUUCAGCACGUUCACCCGCCUCUAUAUUAUGCUCCAUUGAUGUGAGCUGUGAAAAAAAAGUGUUGAGGGUGUUGAUGUGGUCGGUUACCGUAGUUGACUCCAUCAUCCGAAGGGUGUAAAGCUUCCUCUUCAAGAAGAUUUUGUUGUGUAACGAUUUGGCCUCGUACUGUUUUGUCAGCAUAUCCCAUAUUUCUUUCGCCGUCUUUUUCUCUACCACACUUGACAAUACUCCAUCGGCUAGUGCAAGGUGCAGAUUAGCAACUGCAUUGCUAUCCAUCUCGUUCCACUUAGUAUCAUCAAUGAUCUUCACAGGCCUUUGUCCAAUUGCCGCCAAGCAGUUAUCUUUCCGCAAAACUGCUUUUAUUCUCAUUUUCCAUAAUGAGAAAUUAUUCCCAUUGAACUUUUCAAUCUCAUACUUUGUCGCCAUUUUGUUCACCAAUAAUAUAACUAAACAACGACCCUACACAGAACCUUGCUCUGAUACCACUGUUGUUUUAAUAACGCGUGGGUCGACUUUGACUAACAAAUAAUGAAAUUGAGAAAACGCGGCUAAAAAUGGAUACAAGUAUUUACGUGAUUCACCCAAAUUUUGGCUACGUCCACGGGCAAAUAUAUGAGGAUUUUACUAUAGUAGGAGAAUUAUAAAAACUCUCUAAAUACAAGGAGAUAUCAACAAUUAAUCUCUCUUGUAAUAGAAAAAACAAGUAGGAAAUACUAUAGGAAGAAACAAUAAUUUUUCACUCUAUUUUUAUCUCUCUACUCACAAUUUUCACUCUACUCAAUCUUUUCUUUUCUCUCAAUUUUUUUCUCUCCAACACGGCUUAUUUCACUUGGCAUGUUAGUUCUCUAUUCAUAGAGAAAUUUGGCUUCAAACUGUCUCACUUUGUUUCGCUCAAAACCUGCCAUCAAGGUGCAUAUGAAAGAGGAGAGUAGGAUGUAUAUGAGAACCUCGUUAGACAAUUAAUAGCCUUGCAUGUGGGAGACUUGUUCAUGAAGAAAGUGGCUGGACCAAAGCUCAAAAAUUCCACUGCCUAUGUAUUAAAUGCUUGCAUGAAUUUUAUCAUUUUGUAGUCAACAUUUGUGGCUUUAAUUUUCAACACAUUCACUGUUGUCAACUGGUUUUUCUACUAUUCAUCAAUAAACAUCUCACUAUUGUCCUCUUGCAUGUCUCUUCUCAACCCACUUUCUUCCUCUUUCGCUUCUUUUUCUCUUUCGCUUCUUUUCCCACCAUCUUCAAAUUUUUCCCAGAAUUCCUUCGUAGAAAAUAAUCAUAGCUCUCUUUUUUUCAAUUCUCUAACCACGUUUACAUUUUUCCCCGAAUCACAACAAUAUAGGUUCUCGAAAAGGAAAACAAUUAAAUACAUAAUUCUGUGCUUUCCGUAACUGAAUCCAUUUCCUUUUCGAUAAUGGAAGAAUAAAAUUAUGUUGCCGGUCUCAGACGAUGUGCCGGAGCGGAGGUUGUGAGAACAUCGGAGGCUACGGUGAUGAUGUUGGUUUCCUGCUCUUUUUCGUCUGCAUUUUUCACUUUAGUUUGUAAAAGGUCUCGGGUAUACUUGUUUAUGUAUAUUUUCUAUAACAUAUUUUAUACAUAAUUUUUUUUAUAUUAUGUGUAAAAAGAAGUUUUAAGAACAUGGUUUUUACACUUUAUAUAUUUUUAUAUUUUUUUAUAUUAUGUGUCGAGGAAAUUUCUGCACAAAAAUAGUUAUGGAAAAGUGUAAAGCAAAAACCAAUCUUACUUGCAGGAUGAAUUUUCCACGGAAUAUGAACAAAAACUGAAGGAUGUCAAGGAAUUAUUGAAAUCAGAGGAAUUAGAAAAUCAAAUAGAAAGCCUAAUGUUGGUGGAUGCUAUCUAGCGUCUAAGUGUUGACUACCAUUUUCAGGAAGAGAUUGAAUCAGUUCUUCGGUGACAUUAUAAGGAAGCCACUUCUUUUGAUGGAUACACUCUUCAUGAUCUUUCACUUUUCUUCAGACUCUUGAGAGAACAUGAUUUUUACAUUCCCGCAGGUUGAGCUUUUUCCCCCUCUUUGUUUGGUGCUUGUUUUUGUUAAUUACCCAUGACUAGGGCUGGGCAAAUCUCCCGAACCGAACCGACCGAACCGAACCCGAACCGAACCGAUCCGAACCCGACGGUUCUUGUCAAAUUAAAUACCCGAACGGGUAUCUGAAUUGAGAACCGACGGGUACGGUUCGGUUCUCGGUUCUAGACCAAGAACCGAAGAACCGAAUAAGAACCGAAUCUUUCUAAUUUUUUUUUAUAUUGAGUAAAUCAAAUUAUUUUAAUUUUAAUUUUUUCUAAACAAAUUAACAAAUUAAUGAUUUCUAAAUCCAAAUUUUUGGCCCAAUAAUUUGUUUCAUUUCUAAUUUUUUAAUUUUUGGCUCAAUUACCCAUUUUAUUGUUUCAUUUCUUAGCCAAACAAAUCAAAUCCACUAAAUAACCCUAAGCACCUACAAUAAAGUGCAUAACAUUGUCUCGACUCUCGCACUCACUCUCGUAGCCUAUCUAAUAUUCCAAAAUCUAUACAAUCGUCGGCCGACACUCUGACCUCCGAUCGAAGCCGUGACUUUCCUCGACUGAAGCUUUGAUCGUAGCGAUCAUUUGAACAAGGUAGUUUACUAAUCUCUGACAUUCCAAAACUAUUGAAUGUAUCAUUAGUCGUAUUUAUAUAACGUUGUUAUAAAUGUUAAAAAAUUUAAUUAUAGUACAGAACCGAACGGAACCGAACCGAUCCGAACCGAACCGAAUGGAACCGAACCCGAACGGUUCCAUAAUUAUAUUUGGACCCGACGGUUCCAUUUACUAGAUACCCGAAAAGUUUGGUUCGGUUCGGUUCUAAAGAGAACCGAACCGAACCGACCCGCGCCCACCCCUACCCAUGACACAGACAUAUUGUUGGAAAUUUACUUAAAUAUGCGCUAUGGAAAUAAAAACAAUUUCAAUUCCCACCAGAAUUCAUCUUUGUAUUUAGAUAAAAAUUGUGAUAAAAGUUAUAUCUUUUCUUAGAUCUGCAAAUUCCUUUGCGUUAUCUUUGUUCCAGCAACUUGGAUUUGCCUCCCACAGCUGUCCAAUUAUCCAGCAUCCAAUGAAUUCUACACAAAUAACAGAUUGUAGGCACUACAGUUUUCUCCUCUUGUGCUAGCAAGAAUUAUGAGAAAAUCUCUACUGAAUUGAAAACUCUAGUCACUUAUUUAUACAAGCCCAAACGGGCUUGGCCUAACUCGAUCCAAUAUUUAAUUAAUCCAUUUAAUUAAAUCCGAUCCGUGAAUUAAUUAAUCCAAAUUCGGGCCUAUAAAUAAUCAGCCCAAUUAAUUAAUUAAUUCAUCCAAUGAUUGUUAAAUUAAUUAAUUUACAAAUUGCAAUCUUCCAAUUCUCUUUUGAGUGCGACCUAUCAAAUUUCUGAUCACGAUACUUAAAGACGUGAAAUAUUAUUUUGAUUUAAUUAAAGUUAAUAAAUUAAAAUAUCCUUUUAAUUUAUCACCAAUUCACAGUCGCAUCCCAGAUUGACAUCUAGCAAUAUAUCAGAACAACACAUGUGACAGGAAAUGUCACGUGGUAUGACAAAACCAAACUUGUUCAUUUACAAUGAAACUAUAAUCCUUUCGUCAAUAUGAUCUGAUCAAUUACGAGAUAUGGAAGUGUGUCAAUCUUGAUUAUCGAUCAUAUCUUUCAUUUUACUAUUAAGUCAAUGAGUCGAAAACUCAUUUUUGACUCAUGAGUAUACCUUGGCCAAAGAUUUCGUUAUCGACUUAAUUGAGCGAAAUGGAGAUCACAAUCUCUUACUAUCUAAGAGUGACGAAUCCUCUAUUGGUCAUUCACAACCUUCAUAUGGUUCUUGACAUACCCGAAUGAUACAGUAUUAGCAGCCCUUGGCAAAGCAACAUCCAACACUGUAAAAGCAUGACUGUCCUCAUACAAAGUACUAUAACGACCUCAAGUCAAAGGACCAAUUCUAUUACCGAACGUUAGAGAUUAACCACUGACACUCAAAUAGUUAUCCAUGUGGAAUCUCUUAGCGGGUCUCCAAUGUUUCGUUCUAUAACAAAACAUCCAUGUGUUCAUUUAAGUGUCACCAUAUUUUAGCUUGUGAGAUCAGCUACUUACUUCACAAGUAGGAAAUGUCACACGUGAUGGUCUAUCUGUAUCUCAUUAUUACUUAUGACUAUGGAUUAUGCAAGAUUCAAUUAUAUAUAAUUUGUAUAUCAAAAUCACAAUUACUUGUGAUUACCAAAUUACUUAAACUUGAAUCUUCGGACUCUAUUAUUUAAUAUUAUUUAUCAGAAUAAUAAUUUAAAUAAAUAAUUGAUCUUGCCAAAAUUAAAUGCAUUAAAUAUAUUAAAAGUGUUUACAACCUAAAUCGAUUGGAUCUAGGGCAUAACAUUUACAAACAUAUUCAACAAAUUCAAGGGAAAAGAUGGGUUGUUUGAAGGGAAAAUAAAGUAAGAUAUUAGAGGAUUGAUGGAAUUGUAUGAAGUUGAACAGCUAGUGACAGAAAGAGAAGAUAUUCUUGAUGAAGCAGCAAAAUUUAGUGACCAAAUUGUUAGUAACAGAUUGAAGCAUCCUUAUCACAAAAGCAUUGCAUGAUUUACUGCAAAGAAGUAUAUUAGAGAUUUCGAAGGCAUUAAUGGAUGGAGAAAAAAUUGAAAGAGCUCACAAAAAUGAACAUUUCUGUGGCACGUACAGUCCACCAACCAACAAGAACUAGCCAAAAUUUCCAAGUAAGAAGGCAUAAAACUUAUGAAAUUUUCUCGACUAGUUUGAGGAAAACUAAAAAUUGAAUAUUUUGUAAGUUUAGGUGAUGGAAAAACCUUGGUUUGGCUCAGGAAUCAAAGCAGGCUAGGAACCAACCAUUAAAAUGGUACGCAUGGUCCAUGGCCUCCCUAAGCGAUCCAAGCAUGUUGGAGCAAAGGCUUGAACUCACCAAAUCCAUCACGUUUAUUUACAUAAUAGAUGACAUUUCUUAUCUUUAUGCGACACCAGAUGAACUUGCUGUCUUUACCCGAGUUGUACACAUGUAUAAACCAUUUUCUUCUCUAGUUUUAGUGGGGAGAACAAUAGUGGAAAUGCAAUAUGUUUAACUUGAAUAUCUUUUGAUGAUUUUUUUAUUUUUAGCCUUCAAGUUUGAGGAUCGAUUUGUAACCGUAAAUGAAAAAUUGCAGAAAAUUUAAAAAAAGGAAGAACACAAAGAUUUCUGCCCUCAAAAGGGCCCAAAUGUUCAGUCAUGAGACCUAAUCACCCAUUGAGCAUCUAAUAAGGGAUUUAGCUCAAGAUAUACUAAUAUCAACCAAGAAUCAGUACAAAAUGUGCGAAGAAAUCUCAGAUUUCUUCGUGUUUCUCUUGCCUCUUCUCAAAAUAGAAAAACCUCACCAAAUCAGUAUCUAUCAAUUGUACUAAACAACCAGAUUCUAUCACUAAGAACAACCAUUUCAAUCACGAAGAUCGAUUUCAAUUUAGAGAUCAAAACCCUAAUUUUCAAUUAGAAAACAGAGUGAGACGAAAAGACUGAAAGAAGGAUCCAGAGAGUGUGAAUAGUACCAAGGUCAAGUAUAUAUCUGAUCAAUUUAACAGUCACAAUCGAAGGGCUGGAAUGAAGUCAUGUGGAUGGCAAAUUCACACCCCCUCAAAGAGGCUAAUGUCGUGUUUCCAAAAUAUGUUUUUGAUAAAAGGCUAGCAAACCGGUUAUCUAUUAUUGGCCUCAACAAAUAUGCGGCCCAAUAACCCAAAAUUUAAUUAGGCAGCCCAGAAUUCUUAACAAUCUCCACCUAGCUGAGUUGAAUCUUGGUCUUUACUAAUGGAUCUUGUUACUAAAUCAGUUAACUUCACUUGCUCUAAGUUCCUGUAAAAACAAAAAAUUUAAAUCAGUUAACCUUAUCGUAAACAACACUUGAAGUUCUAAAUUUAUCACCCCUUUUUGUGAUAUUUAGAAUCUUCAAGCAAAAUUUAAAUUUGUUUAGAGGCAGUACCUUAGUUCCCAUAUCAGAGAGAUUGAACUCUGUAGGAAUUUUAACCAACUUGAUCAAACCUUUUUCCGCCAUAUCUCGCACAAAAUGAAAUUUUAUGUCUCUAUGCUUGGUUCUAUCAUGAUAUACAGGAUUCCUACUAAGAUAAAUUACACUUUGAUUAUCUGUAUAAAUGUUAACAAAAUUAUUUGCAAAACCAAUUUUAGUUAGUAAACCUCUUAAUCAGAUGCUUUGUUUAACAGCAUCACAAGAUGCAAUAUAUUCAGCUUUUGUAGAUGAUAAGGCAAUUAAUUUUUGUAGUUGUGACUUCCAACUUAUACAUCCAUUACACAAAGUAAAAAUAUAGGAAGAUGUGGAUCUUCUCCUAUCUAAGUCACCAGCAAAAUCCGAGUCAAUGUAACCCUUUAAAGUUAUCUCUUCAUUGCUUCUUCUAUAAAUUAGAUCUAAUUCAGAUGACCCAUUAAAGUAUCUUAACAUCCAUUUUAUUGCAAGCCGGUGAGUUUCACCUGGGUUGGCCAUGAACCUACUUAAAACACUAUUUCCAUGUGCUAGGUCAGGUCUUGUACAGACCAUGAGGUACAUGAUAGAACCUACAGUGUUAGCAUAAGGUACUUUCUCCAUUCUUUUUAAUUCAUCAUCUGUUUUAGGUGAUUGUUCACUAGAUAAUUUAAAGUGAUUAGCAAUAGAAAAAGUAACAGGCUUACAAUCAAGCAUAGAAAAAUUUUCAAGAAUUUUCUUCACAUAAGUUUCUUGUUUUAGCACUAAUAUGUAAUUAUCUCUAUCUCUAUUCAUUUCCAUUCCAAGGAUCCUUUUAGCUUGUCCUAAAUCCUUCAUUUCAAAUUCAAAUUUUAACUUUGAUUUAAUGAAGUCUAUUUCACUUCUAUCAUGACAAGCAAGCAACAUAUCAUCAACAUAGUAACAAAUAAACAUAUUCAGCUCCACUUGAACCUUUAUAAAAGAGACAGGAGUCAUAACGGUUUUUUACAAAACCUAAAGUCUGCACAAAUGAAUUAAAUUUCAAAUACCAUUAUCUGGUUGCUGGUUUAAACCCAUAAAGAGAUUUUUUCAACAAGCAAACCUUAUCUGAUUUUGAUUUAAUUUCAAAUCCUUUGGGUUGAGUCAUGUAUAUUGUCUCAUCAAAUCACCAUUUAGAAAUGCUGUUUUAACAUCAAGUUGAUCUAAUUCCCAGUUAUCAUGAGCAGAUAAAGCCAGUAAAAUUCUAAUUGUAGUGUACUUGGCCACUGGAGAGAAUAUUUCAUUAUAGUCUACUCCUUGUUUUUUAGUGAAACUUUUAGCCACUAAUCUGGCCUUAUAUCUCUUAUUUUCUGAGUUUGAAUCUCCUUCUUUAAUUUUAAAAAUCCAAUUACAAUCUACAAUCUUCCAAAAUCCAUGUUUUAUUUUUAAUAAGGGAAUCCAUUUCCUCAUCCAUAGCUUCCUUCCAAAGCUUAGAAUCAGGAGAAUUAAUGGGUUCAUCAAAAGAUGUAGGUUCAGAAUUUAAGGAGUCAAGUGCAGAAAACAGAGUGAUAAACUCUUCAUUAUUGAAUCUGGUGGAGAAAAUUAUGGUUCUUCUUUCCCUAUCUCUAGCUAGCUAAUAAUCAACAAGAGUAUUUGUUGAAAAUUCAGAUUCACUUUUAGAAUCAUUUUCCUCAUUAUUUAUUUCAGAUUGGGAGUGCUCCACCUCAAGAGAAUCAUCUUGAUUUACAGUAUUUUCAGGUUGAACUUCCAGGAUGGUCUUAUUCUCUGGUGUAGAUUCAGAAAUUUUAGAAUCUUUAGAUUUUAUACAAGGCAUGUCAUUCUCAUUAAAGAUGACAUCUCUACUUAUUAUCACUUUAAAACGUUUUUGGUCUUUAACCCAGAAUCUAUAGCCUUUGGUUUUCUUUCCAUAACCCAAGAAAACACAUUUUUGGGAUCUAGGCUCAAGUUUGCCUUCACUUUGAUGGGAAUAGGCAGCACAACCAAAAACUUUGAUAUUUGCUAUAGUCAGGUAUUUUUUCAGACCAUAACAUUUCAGGGACAUGAAAAUCAAUAGCACUAGAUGGACUUCUAUUAAUUAAAUAGGUGGCUGUGUUUAGACCUUCACCCCAAAAAACUUUUGAAAGUCCAGAACUAUACAACAUACACCUGACCUUUUCUAGCAAGGUUCUGUUCAUUCUCUUAGUAACUCCAUUUUGCUGAGGAGUGUAUGUUAUAGUUCUAUGUCUUAGAAUUCCAACCUCUUUACAAAAUGAAUUAAAUUCAAAAUACAGAAUUCAAGACCAUUGUCAGUUCUUAAUGCUUUGACUUUCUUGUUUGUUUGAUUUUUAAUCAUAGAUUUCCAUUGCUUAAACUUUUGAAAAGUUUCAGAAUUCUGUUUUAAAAGAAAUGUCCAUAUCUUUCUUGAAUAAUCAUCUAUUAUAAGAAAAUAGAACCUAAAUCCACUUAGGGUAUUUACUGAUGCUGGACCCCAAAGGUCAGCAUGUAAGUAGUCUAGUAUAGAAGUGGAUUUAUGGGUUCCAGUUUUAAAGGGUAGUCUUUUCUGUUUUCCAAUUAAACAGUUUUCACAGAAGUCUAAUUUUUCAAUAUUAUCCUUUCCAAAACAUCUAAGUUUAUUUAAAAUGAUUAAUCCAUGUUCAGAAAUGUGUCCCAUUCUUUUAUGCCAAAGUAAGGAUUUGUUAAACUUAUAGUUUGAGGCAGUGCUAUACUGACUUAAAGCAGGCUCAGCAUGGAUAGUGUAAAUUCCAUUUAUUUUUGGAAAGGAGAUGACUCUCUUUUCCCCUAAAGUUAAGCUUAGAAGACCCUUGUGAAUAUAGAUAUUGUAUUUCUCAUCUAAUUCUCCCAAGGAAAUAAGAUUCCUUUUGAGUUCAGGAACAUAUCUUGUAUUUUCUAGUUCAAGAAUAUAGUUGUUAUCUAACAACAACUUAACUUUACCAAUACCUUCUAUUUGACAACUCAUGUCAUUCCCGAUCUGAAUUUGCCCUCCAUUGAGGUCAACAAACUCAGAGAACCAUUCUUUUAAAUGACACAUGUGAAAUGUGCAUCCAGAGUCAAGGACCCACUCUCUUGAGUCUCUUUUCGUGGUAUUAACAAGAACCACCCCCUGGAUAUCAGGUUUAUUUUUGCAAGCAACGGUUGCAGAACCAUCAAAGUUAUUUCUAUCCUUCAUGUCUGAAAUUUUCUUAAAACAUUCUUUUAUUAAGUGUCCUGUUUUGCCACAGUAGUAGCAUUUUCUAAUCUGAUUCUUUGAUUUCACAUGAUUCUUGUUCUUGUCUUUGAGCUUAUAAGUAGGGAAUUUUCCUUUCUUGUGAGGAUUGGGAUAGUAUUGGUUACUUUUCUUAUUGUGAUUUAGUUUUUCUUUUAUAUGAAGCUCUUCACCAGACUUAGAGUCUUUUGACUCAACUUUUAAUUCAAGCUCCUUAUUUCUUAAGGCUGAUGUUACUAUAUCCACAGUAAGUUCUUGCCCCCAUAUUCUAAGGCAUUUCUAAUGUCUCUAUAUCUUUCAUUAAGAGAGAUUAAUAGAGCAACAACUUGUUUGUCAUUAGAAAUUUCCUCAUCACAAUUGUCUAAGUCCUGAAUCAUUUUAGUGAAUUUGUCAAGAUUUUCUUCUAAGCCAGAUGAUGGGUCAAAUCUUAAGUUGUAAAAUUGCCUCAAGAGAUAACAUUUAUUUGGCAUGGACUUAGUCAAGUAGAGUGAUUCUAAUUUUGUCCACAAAGCCUCAGUAGAAGUGUUUUCUCCCACUUUCCUAAUCAUACUAUUAGACAGCUGAAGAAAAACAGUAUUCCAUGCAAUAUCAUCUAAUUCUCUCCUCCUAUAGGCACUAAUUUCAGCAGCCCAUGUGUUAUCAAGGGCUGCAGCACAUCUUUGCUGUAGUAGCAGUGCUAUCAUUUUCUGCGCCAGAGAUUAAAAUCCCCAGUACCAUUCCAUGUCUUUAUUUCUAGCUUAUAUGCACUUGACAUGUUGUCAGGUAAGUAUGCAGACAUGCAACUAUACAGUACACAGUAUAUAUUUAUGAUUCAGACAGAUAAUUGUAAGUAACAAACAGGCAGAUUUCUGAACAGAAUAGGAGAAUGCAGUCAUUCCUAUCCAAACAAUAAUUCAAGAAACUAAGUGUUAAUUAUGAAAAGGUGUAAGGAACAGUGACCCUUUAAAUCCACUGCUCCCUCAGAUUCCCAGACCUUCAGUGGGGUCUUGUACAAAAGAAAGCAGAGGAGAAUCACUUACCUUAAUAACCAAUUUCAAGAUUAACAAGAAACCAAUAAUAGAUUAAAAGUAAAAGGUUUAGAAAUAUACCAGAAAUUGAAAUUGUAAAAAUCUCAGUAUGUAAAAUGUGACCGGACUAUCGGAAUGUAAGCAGCCUUUCACUGCAUAAGCAAUAAAUAAACGAGUUACUAAAACUUAGUGGCAACUCAACUAGAAUCGAAAUGAGUCAACUCGACUCGCCAGACUCAGUACGAGUCAGAUCACUCAAAUAGACUCAAUUGUGAGUCAACUCAUAAAUUGUCUAGAAACUCAAUAGCGAAGAACGAAUCUUCAGUGAAAUCGAUGAACAGAGGAGAAAAUAUUCAAAGACAGUAUAGAUCCAACCAACAGUUGAAUUGAGAGUUUAACUCAAACUAUCAAAAAAUUUUAAACAUCAAAUUUUGCAUUUGAAACCAAGAAACUGUAGAUCUUGAAAAAGGUUUUCGAGAGAACAUAAAAACUAGGAUUUGAAACAAAAGAUUUUUAGAAAUCAAAAAUGGUUUCAUAACCAAAGGAUCUGAUACCACUGUUAUUUUUAACCUUCAAGUUUGAGGAUCGAUUUGUAAUCGUAAAUGAAAAAUUACAGAAAAUUAAAAAAAUGGAAGAACACAGAGAUUUUUCGCCCUCGAAAGGGCCCGGAUGUUCUAUCAUGAGACCUAAUCAUCCGUUGAGCAUCCACUAAAGGAUUUAGCUCAAGAUCCACUAAUAUCGACCAAGGAUCAAUACAAAAUGUGCGAAGAAAUCUCAGAUUUCUUCGUGUUUCUCUCGCCUCUUUUCAAAAUAGAAAAACCUCACCAAAUCAGUAUCUAUGAAUUGUACUAAACAAUUAGAUUCUAUCACUAAGAACAACCAUUUCAAUCACGAAGAUUGAUUUCAAUUUAGAGAUCAAAAUCCUAAUCUUCACUUAGAAAACAGAGAGAGACGAAAAGACUGAAAGAAGGAUUCAGAGAGUGUGAAUAGUGCCAAGGUCAAGUAUAUAUCUGAUCAAUUCAACGAUCAUAAUCAAAGGGCUGGAAUGGAGCCACGUGGAUGGUAGAUUCACACCCCCUCAAAGAGGCUAAUGUCAUGUUUCCAAAAUACGUUUUUUGAUAAAAGGCCAGCAACCCGGUUAUCUAUUAUUGGCCUCAACAAAGAUGCGGCCAAUAACCCAAGAUUUAAUGAGGCAGCCCAGAAUUCUUAACAGAUUUAAAUAUUUAAAUUGUGUACAGGUGGGACUAUGCGGCUAUUCACAUGCUACCAAAACCCUGGAAGAUGUGCUACAAAGCCCUUCUUCACACCACAAAUGAUAUAGGCUACAUGAUCUAUAAAAACCAUGGAUAUAAUCCAAUUGAUUCCCUAAAAUCAACAGUAAGAUAGAUACUCUUUUUCGUCCAUAACAAUACGUUGCCCUGUUUGGUUUUGAUAAAAAAACAGAUUUUUCGAAUGUUUCGAUAAAAAUUGAUAACAUGUAUGGCUAAUAUUUCAUUAAAAACUAUAGGUCAAUAAAAUGUGUGAUUAAAAUUAAUUAUUAACUUUAACUUAGAUUAAAAUCUAAUAUUUAUUUUGAAAAAAACUAGGGCCUAAUAUAUCUCUGCUUAACAUGAUAGAUGACAUUAAUGGCAUAUCCUUCAUUUGUUGUAGUGGGCAAGUCUGUGUGACGUGUUCCUAGUAGAAGCUAAAUGGUUUGCUUCGAGGCACUUACUAACCUCCAAUGAGUACCUAGAAAAUGGGAAGGGGAGUUCAGGAGUACAUGUGAUACUCGUUCACAUCUUCUUUCUUUUGGGAAUUAAUAGAAAAACAGGAGGGGCCGUUCAGGUGGAUGAUAUAUCAGAGCUCAUGUCAUCUGUGGCUGCUAUUCUCCGUCUCUAGGAUGACUUUGGAAGUGCCAAGGUAAUUACAUACUAAAAUUUUAUAUUAUAAAUCCAUAGUACUCUUUCCCUCUAUGACAAUUUAACAUUUUAUAAGAGACCAUCAUCUAGAAUUUUAAUGAUUAUGAUCGAUACUUCCUUGUUAAUUAAUUACACGUUGAAUGUUAAUUUGUUUCGUAUCAAACUAAUGACAGGAUGAGGAGCGAGAUGGAGACGAUGGUUCAUACAUAGAGUGCUGCAUGAAAGAAAAUCCAGGAUCAACCAUUGAAAUUGCGCGAGAGCGUGUUGCUGAUAUGAUAUCAAGUGAAUGGAAGCAUCUUAACAAGGAGUGUUUUCGUUUAAAUAAAAACUCAUCAAGUUCAUCUUUCACAAAAGCUUCUCUUAAUUUUGCAAAAAUGUUUCCUCUUAUGUACAGUUAUGAUGACAACCAUCGGCUUCCAAACCUUGAAGAGUUCGUCAAACACUCUUUGAUGAUAAUUUCUUGGUGCACAGUUUUUAAAGAAUAGCACAAAUGAUGAAAAC